rnacentral:rRNA from 1 species
AGAGUUUGAUCAUGGCACAGAGUGAACGCUGGCGGCGUGGAUUAGGCAUGCAAGUCGAGCGAUCUCACAAGGGAUAGCGGCAAACGGGUGAGGAACACGUAAAUAAUCUUCCCCUUAUCCGGACAUAGCUCUAUGAAAAUAGAGGUAAUAUCCGAUGACACCAUGAUCUCUCAUGAGAUUAUGUUUAAAGACGGGGACCGCAAGGCCUGUCGAUAUGGGAUGAGUUUGCGUAGCAUCAGCUAGUUGGUAGGGUAACGGCCUACCAAGGCUAUGACGCUUAGCUGGUCUGAGAGGAUGGUCAGCCACACUGGGACUGAGACACUGCCCAGACACCUACGGGAGGCUGCAGUCGAGAAUCUUUAGCAAUGGGCGAAAGCCUGACUAUGCGACGCCGCGUGAGGGAUGAAGGAUUUCGGUUCGUAAACCUCUUUUGGCAGGGAAGAAAAAGUUGCAGUUAAUAGCUGCAAAACUGACGGUACCUGCAGAAUAAGCCACGGCUAACUCCGUGCCAGCAGCCGCGGUAAUACGGAGGUGGCUAGCGUUACUCGGAAUUAUUGGGUGUAAAGGGCAAGUAGGCGGCUUGGUAAGUGGGGGGUGAAAUACUCCGGCUCAAUCGGAGAACUGUCUUCCAAACUGCCAGGCUUGAGUGUGACAGAGGAAAAUGGAAUUCUCGGUGUAAGGGUGAAAUCUGUAGAUAUCGAGAAGAACACCAGCGGCGAAGGCGAUUUUCUGGGUCAUUACUGACGCUAAAUUGCGAAAGCUAGGGGAGCAAACAGAAUUAGAUACUCUGGUAGUCCUAGCCGUAAACGAUGAGCACUAG